GCGUGACAUUAGCUAGUUGGUGAGGUAACGGCUCACCAAGGCGACGAUGUCUAGGGGUUCUGAGAGGAUGAUCCCCCACACUGGUACUGAGACACGGACCAGACUCCUACGGGAGGCAGCAGUGAGGAAUAUUGGUCAAUGGGCGCAAGCCUGAACCAGCCAUCCCGCGUGCAGGAUGACGGCCCUAUGGGUUGUAAACUGCUUUUAUACACCAAGAAAACUUCAGACGUGUCUGAAUCUGACGGUAGUGUAUGAAUAAGCAUCGGCUAACUCCGUGCCAGCAGCCGCGGUAAUACGGAGGAUGCAAGCGUUAUCCGGAUUCAUUGGGUUUAAAGGGUGCGUAGGCGGCUUUUUAAGUCAGUGGUGAAAUCCUGCCGCUUAACGGUAGAAUUGCCAUUGAUACUGAAAAGCUUGAGUACAGUUGAGGUAGGCGGAAUGUGUAGUGUAGCGGUGAAAUGCUUAGAUAUUACACAGAACACCGAUUGCGAAGGCAGCUUACUAAACUGUUACUGACGCUGAUGCACGAAAGCGUGGGGAGCGAACAGGAUUAGAUACCCUGGUAGUCCACGCCGUAAACUAUGAUCACUCGCUGUAUGCGAUACACAGUAUGCGGCCCAAGCGAAAGCAUUAA
rnacentral:rRNA from 1 species